rnacentral:rRNA from 1 species
UUUGUUCCCUAAAUAGGGACUUGUAUGAAUGGCCACAACAGGGCUUUACUGUCUCUUACUUCCAAUCCGUGAAAUUGACCUUCCCGUGAAGAGGCGGGAAUAUAACAAUAAGACGAGAAGACCCUAUGGAGCUUUAAUUAACCGACCCAAAGAGACCCUACCAAUUAACCAACAGGAACAACAAACCUCUAUUAUGGGCCGGCAAUUUAGGUUGGGGUGACCUCGGAGAACAAAACAACCUCCGAGUGAUUUAAAUCUAGACUAACCAGUCAAAAGUAUUACAUCACUUAUUGAUCCAAAUAACCUUGAUCAACGGAACAAGUUACCCUAGGGAUAACAGCGCAAUCCUAUUUUAGAGUCCAUAUCGACAAUAGGG